UCUUGAUUGGUCUAGUGGUUAGGAUACCUGCUUGUCAUCGACUCGCUCUUGAUGAUCGAAUAAGUGCGCAGGUGGCCGGGGUUCGAUUCCCCGAUCGAGAG